UACGUAGGGUGCAAGCGUUAAUCGGAAUUACUGGGCGUAAAGCGUGCGCAGGCGGCUUUGCAAGACAGAUGUGAAAUCCCCGGGCUUAACCUGGGAACUGCAUUUGUGACUGCAUGGCUGGAGUGCGGCAGAGGGGGAUGGAAUUCCGCGUGUAGCAGUGAAAUGCGUAGAUAUGCGGAGGAACACCGAUGGCGAAGGCAAUCCCCUGGGCCUGCACUGACGCUCAUGCACGAAAGCGUGGGGAGCAGACAGG
rnacentral:rRNA from 1 species